rnacentral:tRNA from 1 species
GACCGGUUAGCUCAGUUGGUAGAGCAACUGACUCUUAAUCAGUGGGUCCAGGGUUCGAAUCCCUGACUGGUCACCA